CAAAUAAAAUACAUUUAUUUUUAUGGCCAAUGUUGGCAUUAUAUGAUAUGGGAUACAUUUCUGGAAAGGGAAGAUUGGUUGAGAUUCCUAUAUAGUUUAGAAGUGAAACCUACAUUAUUUGAGUACGCUGCCUGGGAGCCUGCUGAUCUUGUCUGAGGUGGUAACCAGUCACCAAAGCCCACCUGAAGCACUUUUAGGGAAAGUCACCAAAGGGCGAGGCCCAUCACUUUUAGCCUUUUAAUGUGGGAUGUAAAGCACCAGAUGCAGGUAAGCAGAGCUGAAAUUCACUCCACAACAAAGCACAGAGCUUGCCAGGUGGUAGGCCUGCCACCUAUCAGCUCUGAGGUGCUGGAGUCUGGAGGUGACAUGCUCCAGCACCUUUGUACAUAGCUUGCCCAGUGAGCAUGCUCCAAACAACAUUCUCUUCCCUAGGGUCUUCUCCUCACCUCUUUGCUUGCAAGAUAACCGUGAAGAGAAAAUAGAAGCUCUGGUUCACAAGAGAACGGAGCUGGGACCUAGCAAAGAAGAUUCCCUUGAAACGGGAUUCUCAGAGACUGAACGCUCUGGAAAGAGAACUUCCUGAAUGGAGGCACUAUCUGUUCUCCUGGAUGGUGAGCCUAGCAUAUCUGCUGCGUGCCCAUCAGAUGAAAGGGAAGAGUCGUGUCUUGCAGUCUGAUGCAGAACUGGAUGCUGCCACAGUUGCUCCUUAUUUGGUGCAUGGGAAGACAAGGAAGAAUUCCAAGAAUGGUUUGGGCGUCCAGCUCCCUCCCACCUAAGUAGAUGCCUCUUCCAUUUGCUGGCUGUGAAGGAGAGGGCAGGAUGUGAUCAUGUGAUCAUUUCUCCUCUCAAAGAUGAGGGAAACUGAGGCUCAGAGUGUCUCAGUGACUUGCCAGAGACAGAUCCUACCAGCUGGAGAAGAAGAGAUACUCAGGACUUGGAAUGCAGGAAGCUAGGCUCCAGGGCUAAGACCUUGUUCCUUUGGAUUGUGCAUUAAGUAUAGCACAUAGUAAGUGCUCAA
rnacentral:sRNA from 1 species